GUGCCUGUGGCUCAAGGAGUAGGGCGCCAGCCCCAUAAACUGGAGGUGGCGGGUUCAAACCCAGCCCUGCACA
rnacentral:tRNA from 1 species